rnacentral:misc_RNA from 1 species
GAUGAAGAACGCAGCGAAAUGCGAUAAGUAAUGUGAAUUGCAGAAUUCAGUGAAUCAUCGAAUCUUUGAACGCACAUUGCGCCCCCUGGUAUUCCGGGGGGCAUGCCUGUCCGAGCGUCAUUACAACCCUCAAGCUCAGCUUGGUGUUGGGCCCCGCCGCCCCGGCGGGCCCUAAAGUCAGUGGCGGUGCCGUCCGGCUUCGAGCGUAGUAAUUCUUCUCGCUCUGGAGGUCCGGUCGUGUGCUCGCCAGCAACCCCCAAUUUUUUUCAGGUUGACCUCGGAUCAGGUAGGGAUACCCGCUGAACUUAAGCAUAUCAAUAAGCGGAGGA